ACCCCUUUGGCCCAACGGAGACGGCACCGGUCUACGAAACCGGGGAUCCAGGUUCGAGUCCUGGAGGGGGUG
rnacentral:tRNA from 1 species